CCUCGGGGGGCAGCAGUGGGGAAUAUUGCACAAUGGGCGCAAGCCUGAUGCAGCCAUGCCGCGUGUGUGAAGAAGGCCUUCGGGUUGUAAAGCACUUUCAGCGGGGAGGAAGGCGAUAAGGUUAAUAACCUUGUCGAUUGACGUUACCCGCAGAAGAAGCACCGGCUAACUCCGUGCCAGCAGCCGCGGUAAUACGGAGGGUGCAAGCGUUAAUCGGAAUUACUGGGCGUAAAGCGCACGCAGGCGGUCUGUCAAGUCGGAUGUGAAAUCCCCGGGCUUAACCUGGGAACUGCAUUCGAAACUGGCAGGCUAGAGUCUUGUAGAGGGGGGUAGAAUUCCAGGUGUAGCGGUGAAAUGCGUAGAGAUCUGGAGGGAUACCGGUGGCGAGGGCGGCCCCCUGGACAAAGACUGACGCUCAGGUGCGAAAGCGUGGGGAGCGAACAGGAUUAGAUACCCCUGUAGUC
rnacentral:rRNA from 1 species